rnacentral:rRNA from 1 species
CUGCUGCCUUCCGUAGGAGUUUGGGCCGUGUCUCAGUCCCAAUGUGGCCGUCCACCCUCUCAGGCCGGCUACUGAUCGUCGCUUUGGUAGGCCGUUACCCUGCCAACUGGCUAAUCAGACGCGGGCCCAUCUUAUACCACCGGAGUUUUUCACCCUGGGCCAUGCGGCCCUGGGCGCUUAUGCGGUCUUAGCACCUAUUUCUAAGUGUUACUCCCCUGUAUAAGGCACGGUUACCCACGUCGUUACCUCCACCCGUCCGACCAACUAAAAGUAAAAAUGUUACCG